AAAAAGAACAUUUCAAUAAUUGAAUUUCAAAUAACUGAAUAAUCAAUUAACCAGAAAUGAUUGGAUUCUAAACAUAAAACGUACAAACCUUAUAGCUUCGAUUCAAUAUUUUCUUCCCAAUAACAAAAUAUCCGAAUUGACGAAAACGAAGCACCAUCGAAUUUGCUAUUCUUUCGAAAGCAUUCUUCAUAAAAUCAACAGGUUUUCUAUUCUAACUGGCACAAUGCGCGUACCAUUGAGACUUGGAAUCGAUAUUUUCAAUUCAUCAACGUGGCCACCUCCUGUUUCGUAGAUCUCCUUUCGGCCGGUGCAUACGCUUUCACGCACAUAGGACAUUGAUACACAGAGUUCUUUCAAUCUCGAGAGAUGAACAAGUUCAUUUGUAAUUUCGCGUAUGUAUUCCGCGCCAAGAUUGAAAAUCAUUUUUCAACCAGGAUAAGUGUGCGUGUUUGCGCGCUUAGGGAAUGCGAAAGUGAAAAAUGAAAGGAAAAAAAAAAAAAUGAAAAUUCCAUUCUUUUGGGAUCGAACGUUCUCAAAGGGAACGUUCUCUGUGAGAUUAUACACUUUUUGAUGAGUUUUCAAUUUUUCGAUAGUACUGGAGGCCAUUGAAUAUUAUAGAAGAUGAUGUUUACACCUCCAUCUUAAUUAUUACUGACACGAUUAACUCUAUCGAUUGGUUAUUAACUACAGCUUUAUGAUAGCAAACUACUUAGCAAGAUGACCUAUUUGAGUUGGAUUAAUGACUAUCAAGGGAAUUGUGCAAGAUGAUGUACAUCAAUUUCGGCGAAAUUAUAGAGAGAAAUAGAGAAUUAACAUUUCCAUUUCUCAACUGGUUUUAAUUACCAUUGAUAAUACAUUUAU